CGUAAACAAAGGGAAGCGAAGCGGUGACGCCUGGCAAAAUCCCAGAAAUAACGUCCCAGUUCGGAUUGUAGUCUGCAACCCGACUACAUGAAGCUGGAAUCGCUAGUAAUCGCGAAUCAGAAUGUCGCGGUGAAUACGUUCCCGGGUCUUGUACACACCGCCCGUCACACCAUGGGAGUCGGAAAUGCCCGAAGUCAGUGACCCAACCGCAAGGAGGGAGCUGCCGAAGGUGGAGCCGGUAACUGGGGUGAAGUCGUAACAAGGUAGC
rnacentral:rRNA from 1 species